UCGAUUUUUGGUUACCUUUCAGAUUUCAAGGAGUUGUAGUGGGUGCAGCUGUUGUAGCUGUUGAUUCUGCGAAGAAGACUGAGCCAUCCCGCAGCGAUGUUAAAGACUCAUUGCCUGCUAUCACAAAUGCUUGAUUGAAUUUCUUGGAGUCAAAAGUGACACAACCAGUUAUUAGGGUUUAGGGUGUAAUUACCUUUUCACACAGGACCAGGUAGAUUUGAAUACAUUUCUUCAUUCUACAGUUUCUAUGUCACCAAAUACACCUUUUAAGAUCUUGGGGUUUUUUUUCUUUUUUUAGCUCAGAACGUAGUAGCAUAAUUUUCAAACAAUAAGUCAACUAUACCAUUACUUAAGUAUAGCACAUGACUUUAACAAAAUAAUAACAUAAGAAAUCAACAAUAUAAAGUAACACAAAAUGCUGGGUCACAGACCCACCCCUGAACGGUGGUAAUAUACAACACCUGAUUAUUUUCUAGUUUCUUUACAUUUUCUAAAAAGCCAGAAGAUAGAUAUAUAGAUAGAUAGGACCUGGUGAUCAUUACCCCUACAUUUUAAAGGGUAGACAAUUAUACUCAAAGGAACAUACACAAACAACAUUUCUUUUGUAUGUGACUCAUACCUGGGCAAUCUCACAUCACUGUGUUGCAGCAAAAAGGAUUAAUCAGGUGUGUCCCUGAUUAUUACCUAAUUGUGUUUACCCUUGUUAAGAUGAGAAGUUUUUCUAAGAAUUACAAUUUCCCAACAAUUACGCAAAUGAGGUUAAAUCAUCUCUUGCAACUGUGUAUAAAAAGCUCUGCUGUCUGUACAACAUUACCACAAUCAUCUCUGAGACAGUCUGCUGAAGUUGUGAAGACCUGACGGUAACAUUUCUUAUCAAUUUUUUAUUGCUUCUCUGUUUUCUGUAUAAUGUUGGUGGAAUGGUGAUUUUGCAGAUGGUUUGGACCACAUCUCAUCAGAAUUAUUGUUAACAGGUGAAAUCACUGAAACCAUGAUCAAGGUUGUGUUUCUGCUUGGAUGCCUGCUGAGCCUUGCUCUGGCAAAUCCUAAUGACUCAGCACACGAGCGCGAUGCACGUUCUUCAUCUGAGGAGGGGAGUUUUGGGACCCUAAAUCGUCUUACCCUGCUACUACCUCUUCUACAGAAUCCACUACUUCUGCAGAAUUCAACGCUCCUUGCUUUGCUUCUUGCUGCUAUACGAUAAGCACCUCCUUAACCUACAGCUAUUACCCACACAAAGGAUGAAUUGAAAAGGAAUGAACAAUGAAUAAAAACUUUU